rnacentral:rRNA from 1 species
GAGUUUACAACUCCCAAACCCCAAUGUGAACGUUACCAAUCUGUUGCCUCGGCGGGAUUCUCUUGCCCCGGGCGCGUCGCAGCCCCGGAUCCCAUGGCGCCCGCCGGAGGACCAACUCCAAACUCUUUUUUUCUCUCCGUCGCGGCUCCCGUCGCGGCUCUGUUUUAUUUUUGCUCUGAGCCUUUCUCGGCGACCCUAGCGGGCGUCUCGAAAAUGAAUCAAAACUUUCAACAACGGAUCUCUUGGUUCUGGCAUCGAUGAAGAACGCAGCGAAAUGCGAUAAGUAAUGUGAAUUGCAGAAUUCAGUGAAUCAUCGAAUCUUUGAACGCACAUUGCGCCCGCCAGUAUUCUGGCGGGCAUGCCUGUCCGAGCGUCAUUUCAACCCUCGAACCCCUCCGGGGGGUCGGCGUUGGGGAUCGGCCCCUCACCGGGCCGCCCCCGAAAUACAGUGGCGGUCUCGCCGCAGCCUCUCCUGCGCAGUAGUUUGCACACUCGCACCGGGAGCGCGGCGCGGCCACAGCCGUAAAACACCCCAAACUUCUGAAAUGUUGACCUCGGAUCAGGUAGGAAUACCCGCUGAACUUAA